UACAGAGGUCUCAAGCGUUGUUCGGAUUCAUUGGGCGUAAAGGGUGUGUAGGUGGCGCGCUAAGUCGGGUGUGAAAUUUCGGAGCUUAACUCCGAAACUGCAUUCGAUACUGCGGUGCUUGAGGACUGGAGAGGAGACUGGAAUUCAUGGUGUAGCAGUGAAAUGCGUAGAUAUCGAGAGGAACACCUGCGGCGAAGGCGGGUUGCUGGGCUGACACUGACGCUGAUGCGCGAAAGCCAGGGGAGCGAACGGG
rnacentral:rRNA from 1 species